GCGUAGCGUAGUGGUCAUAGCGCGUGUGUGUUAUUGGUGAGGUCGUGGGUUCGAGUCCCACGCGGCGCC
rnacentral:tRNA from 1 species